rfam:Yarrowia lipolytica complete mitochondrial genome, strain W29
GGAACUAUAGUUUAAAGGUUAAAACUAACCGCUCAUAACGGUUCAAUGAUUGUUCGAGUCAAUCUGGUUCUA